UACGAAGGGUGCAAGCGUUACUCGGAAUUACUGGGCGUAAAGUAGUGCGUAGGCGGUUCGUUAUGUCUGCUGUGAAAGCCCCGGGCUUAACCUGGGAAUGGCAUGGGAAACUGGCGGGGCUGGAGUGUGGCAGAGGGGGGUGGAAUUCCGACGUGUAGCAGUGAAAUGCGUAGAGAUGCGGAGGAACACCGAUGGCGAAGGCAGCCCCCCUGGGCUAACACUGACGCUCGAGGCAACGAAAGCGUGGGGAGCAAACAGG
rnacentral:rRNA from 1 species